UACGAAGGGGGCUAGCGUUGUUCGGAAUUACUGGGCGUAAAGCGCACGUAGGCGGAUUUGUAAGUCAGGGGUGAAAUCCCGGGGCUCAACCUCGGAACUGCCUUUGAUACUGCAAGUCUCGAGUCCGAUAGAGGUGAGUGGAAUUCCUAGUGUAGAGGUGAAAUUCGUAGAUAUUCGCAAGAACACCAGUGGCGAAGGCGGCUCACUGGUCCGGUACUGACGCUGAGGUGCGAAAGCGUGGGGAGCAAACAGG
rnacentral:rRNA from 1 species